GCCGAUGUAGCUCAGUGGCAGAGCGUGCGUUUCAUAAGCGCAAUGUCGCAGGUUCGAUCCCUGCCAUCGGCA
rnacentral:tRNA from 1 species